AUAGCGUAUAUUAAAGUUGUUGCAGUUAAAAAGCUCGUAGUUGAAUUUCGGGAUUGACGUGAUGGUCGUGCCUUACGGGGUAUGAACUGUUGCAGUCAAUUUCUCACCUUCUGGAGAAAUAUGAUGUCCUUAAUUGGGUGUCAUAUGGAACCAGAACUUUUACCUUGAAAAAAUUAGAGUGUUUAAAGCAGGCUUAUUGCUCGAAUACAUUAGCAUGGAAUAAUAAAAUAGGACGGCAUGGUUCUAUUUUGUUGGUUUCUAGGAUCACCGUAAUGAUUAAUAGGGAUAGUUGGGGGCAUUAGUAUUCAAUUGUCAGAGGUGAAAUUCUUGGAUUUAUUGAAGACUAACUACUG
rnacentral:rRNA from 1 species